UACAUACUCCCUCCAUCCGAAAAAGCUUGUCCCUCAAAUGGAUGUAUGUAGCACCAAGUUAGUGUUAGAUACAUCUAUUUGAGGGACAAGUUUGAGACAAGUUUUUUCGGACGGAGGGAGUACAAU
rnacentral:pre_miRNA from 1 species